UUCGCUCCGCUCUCACCCGCCUCCCACUUCCUCCUCUCCCCUCGCGCCCUCCCAUCGCGCCGCCGCCGCCAGCCCCCAAUCCCGUCGCCCCCGUCUUCCUCAAUCCCCUCGCUGCCUCUCCUGGCUCGAUCCCUCCCCCAAUCCACUCACUCCACGGUCGUCAUCCUCAGGUCGAGCUCCAUCCUCACCGUCCCCGGGAGCAGCCUUGCCGCCGCUCGCGCCGCCGCAGCACACCUUGGGGUGAGAUGGCAGGGGCUGGUCGGAGAUGGCAGGGGCGACCGGCCAGAGGUUGCAGCAGCAGCAGCAAAACCCUAGCAGCCACGAGCCAAUCCCCACGCGACCUCUCCCUCCAAUCCCCACGCGACCUUCUCCUGCACGUCCGGCGGCGCUGCUCCGCCUCCCUGGCCGCCACCGGCCCUUCUCCUCCCAAUCGGCGUCCCUCGUGCCUCUCCUCGUCCCCGCCGCCACAGGAGCACGCACGGAGGAGGGAGGCUGCGACGCCUCGUACUGGUUAAUGGGUUGCACGUAGGCGGGCAGGGGUGCAGAUCAGGUCAGCGUAUGGUAAUCAUCAAGUAAUUGCUCUAUUUCUCUUCUUUGGUUAACAAGAGUAUUAUCAUUUGCUAUACCAGAUGCAUCCUGUCUUCUUUCAGUGAUUUCUCUUGUCUUAAACUCAUCAAGACCAGGAGGAACAACUCGUGCCAAUCUUGCUGGUGUCAGAACAUUUUCAGCAUCCACCUUCUGCGCUGGAUAAUCUCCAGAAUUGAUUUUUUUCAGAGGAUUUUGUAGCUGAUAUAUCUAUGGCUUACUUGUCAGGAAAGAGAGGCUAGGAGGGCCUAGCUGCUACAGCCAGGAUGAUGAGCCUGGAAUUGUUGAUUUGUAAUUGACAUAUCCUUUGGUUCAUUUUAUCAUUCUUCUGAAUAUCUUGGAGUGUUAAUACCGCGAACAUAAAAUUAUUAGCAAGUUGCAGUGAUAAUGGAGAGCCUGAGCACAUACUUUCUUUGAUCAAGCAACUGCCGUGUUUCAUCCAAACUUUUCCCUUGUCCUUCAACCAUCUUGGUGAAUUAACUGUAACCAGAGUAACAUAAGUGUAAAUAAAAUAAUAUUUAGCCUGUUUCUUAAUUUUCAUCCUUUUCUCAAAUUAUUUCCCCUGUUUAUACUUUGUUCAGUAUUAAUCACCAUGUUCAUAAUUCUCCCUUUGUCAAUGCCAGAGCCAUGUGUUAGGAUCUUAUAAGAUUAAUGUGGAUGCAUCUAAAGGUAUAAACAUUGUACCCCCAUGGAGUUACCACACAGCCUAGCGCGGUUCGGCCAUCGGAUUGAGCCUUUAAAUCUCUUCCCCGCCGUUGAAUCGCGGUCCGAGGCAUCUUUGGACAUGAACCGAAAGCUUGGUUAUGAUCUAAGUAUGAGCCUCAAACCUAUAUGGAUACAUCAACUAAAAGCAAAGAUUCCAUUGAGCUUUAGAGUUGAGAGGCUCUGGAUGGCCUUCUGUAAGUUUUGGAGCGAAUCUACUGUUGUGGCUAACUGUAGUCUAAUUAGAUUGCAAUUUAAGGUGUCGCAUUUGCUAUGUAGAAGCUGAUGGUAGUGGUGAUAUUGAGUUUGUGUUUUUGAUAAAGUGGACAAAGAGAUUAUUGGGAGGUCACUCAUGCGCGUUCUGGAAGAAAUCAUUUAGGAUACACACACAGAUCAGUGGACUCCGUUGGAGCUUCGUAUAAUUGGUUCUAUGGAACAGUCUUAUAACUUAUCAAGUCCAUAAGAUCGAUGCAUAGUAUGGAAAUUAGCCUGGCUUGGCAUUAGCUUCAUCCAGCAAGUCUGCUGACAACGGGUUAAAUUUCAGUGACGAAGCUUUUAGUUGAUGCAGCUAUCCUUAGUGGUGCACUGGUGCCUCUUCUUCAGGCACUGUUGCUGAACUCUCUGAUGCUUCAGCCUGUAAGGACAUUCCUGUGCAUUGCCUUUCCUUUUCCUCUCUUUAGUACCUUUGCCCUUAAUUCAGUAUAACGGUUUCUUGGUUCUUGAAACCUCACCUAAGGUACCCCUCUGUUGCCUUUUCUAAACUAUUUACUUUGCUUUGUAAAGUUUCAGUCCAGAAAUAUAGUACUAUCUAUGUUUCCUUUUAUAAGGCGUUCUGGUAAGACAAUUAAUCUUGCCAAAAAGGUCUUAUAAAAGGGAAUAGAGGAAGUACUUAGCAUGCCACUAAUGUCACCAAGUGUAUAUACUCAAAAUGGUGCAUUCUUUCUUACGUUUAAACUUGACUCUCACAGGUGAGGUGUGGAUAUGUCAUGAGUUUUGAUCUUUGGAAAUAUACCCAGCAGUGUGAAAAUGGGGAAAAUAUUUCAGUCUACUGAAAAGAGCUACAAAGAUAAUAAGUUGACAAAAACAGUUUAUUUCCCUAAAAAACUACAGUACUGUCCCAGAAAAACUCUUAUGUGUUACUAUUUACUUAGAUUUUGUUUUUGUAUAAUUUAUUAAAAUAUUUGUUGGUACCAACUAUGUUUCUCAAGAAUUUCGUUUCUGAAGCGUAUUCUUUGAUGACCCUCUUCCCCCCUAGCCAAUUCUCUUGAAUCCUAGAAUAGUUUUAAAUGUGACAGCAUGUUGAUGUUCAUACAAAGACACCUCCUCUGUUCGAAUAGCUGCAUAGAACCUUGGAAAAUUUUCGUUCAGUGAUAUUCACUUUUGGAUACUGUUUCGAAGUGCGCUGAGAUAUUGUGAUGCCUUGCAAUCUAAGAAUGAUGUUCCUGUACAGCUAAAGAGGAAACACAGUAGAGAAGAUAAUGAGGUAGCUGAAUCCAGUAAUGAUUGGGUGAUGAGCCCUGGCUGAAGAGUUAGCGGAUUGUUUGGACUGAAUUCUGAAUAUGCUGCGUUUGUGCCAUGUGAGAGAAAUAGCAUAUUAUUAUCAUCUUCAUAUAGUAGUAGAGUGUUCUCAGUGUUGCCCCUGGACAAAAAUGUACAUUGAGGAGCCGAUCAUUUCAGUACAGACUACAGAGGGACGACGGCUUGAGAUAUAGUCUCAGCACCAUCAUUGGCUGCAAGAAUUUGCUCCCUGGAAGCGAAAAUGUCAACACGGUAGCCUAUGUAUUCUCCCAUGGUACAUGUAAAUUUGAUUUUCCUCUCUAUGAUGGACAUUGGGGCUGAAUUACUGAGUGACGACUGAUGGUAUUGUGUACUUGCUGCAAAAAGAAGAAAAGUAAAAUUGCUUGAAUUAUGCCUUUUUAGUACAGAUUUAGUUCGACAAUGCUAAUUGGUUGUGUUAAACUGCAGCAUAUUUUCCCCUCACGCGACGAAUUGAUAAAAGGACAAUAUUUUGGUUGUCCAUGCAAUCCUACAAUUGAAUGCAGUAUUUUGCUCAUCCAUGAGAAGCAACCAAAGAUCAUACAUCAGCUGCAGAGCUCCGAUGUCUCCAUCCCCGCCUGCACGGUGCCGCCUCUAUCCUCUGCCCCUCUUCUUGGUGCAUAGUGGCCAGCUGGUCGGACGCUUUUGAUUGGUAGCCUCCGAUUUGAGGUAAAAAUGUUUUGAGGUGUAGAUCGCAAAUGGAAGAACCACGGCGCACAUAAAAACUAAGGGCACUAUCAUGUUUUAAGUGGCUUGGGAAGGGAGUGAGACCGUGACUUGAUAGGUAAAAGGCCAGAGAAACAGCGUUGCGUCUACUCCCAGUGUAGAGAUCUUCCAUGGAGAUGCAGGGCCGAGGUUCUCCAUUUGGUGAUGUCAGUGGUGUUAGCAUUUGGCGGUGCAGCUACUUAUUAGAUUUAUGUUUUCUAUGCGCAAGAUCGAACUGCAACGAGCUUUUGUAGAUGUUAUAACUUAUGUACCUUCUAUUGCUCUCAAAAGGAAACAUAGAAUGUUAGUUAUUGUAGCAUAUUUAGCUAUUUUCUUGAUUGUGUAUAAACAUUGUUGUUCUUUUCUGAAUUUGUGUCUUUAGUUAUAAUUGUGCUCUAUUAA